rnacentral:rRNA from 1 species
CCUGGUUGAUCCUGCCAGUAGUCAUAUGCUUGUCUCAAAGAUUAAGCCAUGCAUGUCUAAGUACACGCCCUCGCAAGGCGAAACCGCGAAUGGCUCAUUAAAUCAGUUAUGGUUCCUUAGAUCGUACAUAUCCUACUUGGAUAACUGUGGUAAUUCUAGAGCUAAUACAUGCGACUGAGCCCUCGGAGCCGUCAAAAGCCGAGAGGGUGCUUUUAUUAGACCAAGACCAGACGUGCCUUCGGGUACGAUCGUCGUGGUGACUCUGGAUAACUAUGGCGGAUCGCACGGCCGCAGCGCCGGCGACGCAUCUUUCAAGUGUCUGCCUUAUCAACUGUCGAUGGUAGGUUAUGCGCCUACCAUGGUCGUUACGGGUAACGGGGAAUCAGGGUUCGAUUCCGGAGAGGGAGCCUGAGAAACGGCUACCACAUCCAAGGAGGGCAGCAGGCGCGCAAAUUACCCACUCCCGGCACGGGGAGGUAGUGACGAAAAAUAACGAUACGGGACUCUAACGAGGCUCCGUAAUCGGAAUGAGUACACUCUAAACCUUUUAACGAGGAUCGAUUGGAGGUAAGUCUGGUGCCAGCAGCCGCGGUAAGACCAGCUCCAAUAGCGUAUAUUAAAGUUGCUGCGGUUAAAAAGCUCGUAGUUGGAUCUCAGCCGCGCUCCGCGGGACGCGUCGCGAGGCGCCGUACCCGCGGGCCGGCAUUGGGCCGGCGGUCUCCGUUGGCCUUCAAAAGCUGACGGGGCUCGGCGGCGUCUUUACUUUGAAAAAAUUAGGGUGCUCAGAACAGGCUUGAGCCUGCAUAUUCGCGCAUUCGKAUUGCGGCGCUAGAGGUGAAAUUCUUGGACCGCYGCAAGACGGACUACUGCGAAAGCAUUUGCCAAGAAUGUUUUCAUUAAUCAAGAACGAAAGUUAGAGGUUCGAAGGCGAUCAGAUACCGCCCUAGUUCUAACCAUAAACGAUGCCGACCAGCGAUCCGCCCGAGUUCUUCGUACGUCUCGGCGGGCAGCUUCUGGGAAACCAAAGUUUUUGGGUUCCGGGGGAAGUAUGGUUGCAAAGCUGAAACUUGAAGGAAUUGACGGAAGGGCACCACAAGGAGUGGAGCCUGCGGCUUAAUUUGACCCAACAUGGGAAACCUUACCCGGCCCGGACACCGGAAGGAUUGACAGAUUAAUAGCUCUUUCUUGAUUCGGUGGGUGGUGGUGCAUGGCCGUUCUUAGUUGGUGGAGUGAUUUGUCUGGUUAAUUCCGAUAACGAACGAGACUCCAGCCUGCUAAAUAGACCCACGGUCCGCAGUACCGUGAGCGGGUCUUCUUAGAGGGACGGGCGGCUCUUAGCCGCAUGAAACGGAGCGAUAACAGGUCUGUGAUGCCCUUAGAUGUCCGGGGCCGCACGCGCGCUACACUGAAGGGAUCAGAACGCGUUUCCCCUAGCCCGAGAGGGCUGGGAAACCGUGUGAACCCCCUUCGUGCUAGGGAUAGGGGAUUGUAAUUGUUCCCCUCGAACGAGGAAUUCCUAGUAAACGCGAGUCAUCAGCUCGCGUUGAUUACGUCCCUGCCCUUUGUACACACCGCCCGUCGCUACUACCGAUUGAAUGAUUUAGUGAGGUCUUCGGACCGGUCCGGCGGAGGGCCCCGGCCAUUCUCCGGACUCGGGAAGAUGCCCGAACUUGGUCAUUUAGAGGAAGUAAAAGUCGUAAUGAUCCUGCCGCUGGUUCACCAACGGCAA